rnacentral:rRNA from 2 species
UUAAGCGACUAAGCGUACACGGUGGAUGCCCUGGCAGUCAGAGGCGAUGAAGGACGUGCUAAUCUGCGAUAAGCGUCGGUAAGGUGAUAUGAACCGUUAUAACCGGCGAUUUCCGAAUGGGGAAACCCAGUGUGUUUCGACACACUAUCAUUAACUGAAUCCAUAGGUUAAUGAGGCGAACCGGGGGAACUGAAACAUCUAAGUACCCCGAGGAAAAGAAAUCAACCGAGAUUCCCCCAGUAGCGGCGAGCGAACGGGGAGCAGCCCAGAGCCUGAAUCAGUGUGUGUGUUAGUGGAAGCGUCUGGAAAGGCGCGCGAUACAGGGUGACAGCCCCGUACACAAAAAUGCACAUACUGUGAGCUCGAUGAGUAGGGCGGGACACGUGGUAUCCUGUCUGAAUAUGGGGGGACCAUCCUCCAAGGCUAAAUACUCCUGACUGACCGAUAGUGAACCAGUACCGUGAGGGAAAGGCGAAAAGAACCCCGGCGAGGGGAGUGAAAAAGAACCUGAAACCGUGUACGUACAAGCAGUGGGAGCCCUGAUUUAUCAGGGUGACUGCGUACCUUUUGUAUAAUGGGUCAGCGACUUAUAUUCUGUAGCAAGGUUAACCGAAUAGGGGAGCCGAAGGGAAACCGAGUCUUAACUGGGCGUUAAGUUGCAGGGUAUAGACCCGAAACCCGGUGAUCUAGCCAUGGGCAGGUUGAAGGUUGGGUAACACUAACUGGAGGACCGAACCGACUAAUGUUGAAAAAUUAGCGGAUGACUUGUGGCUGGGGGUGAAAGGCCAAUCAAACCGGGAGAUAGCUGGUUCUCCCCGAAAGCUAUUUAGGUAGCGCCUCGUGAAUUCAUCUCCGGGGGUAGAGCACUGUUUCGGCAAGGGGGUCAUCCCGACUUACCAACCCGAUGCAAACUGCGAAUACCGGAGAAUGUUAUCACGGGAGACACACGGCGGGUGCUAACGUCCGUCGUGAAGAGGGAAACAACCCAGACCGCCAGCUAAGGUCCCAAAGUCAUGGUUAAGUGGGAAACGAUGUGGGAAGGCCCAGACAGCCAGGAUGUUGGCUUAGAAGCAGCCAUCAUUUAAAGAAAGCGUAAUAGCUCACUGGUCGAGUCGGCCUGCGCGGAAGAUGUAACGGGGCUAAACCAUGCACCGAAGCUGCGGCAGCGACACUAUGUGUUGUUGGGUAGGGGAGCGUUCUGUAAGCCGGUGAAGGUGGCCUGUGAGGGAUGCUGGAGGUAUCAGAAGUGCGAAUGCUGACAUAAGUAACGAUAAAGCGGGUGAAAAGCCCGCUCGCCGGAAGACCAAGGGUUCCUGUCCAACGUUAAUCGGGGCAGGGUGAGUCGACCCCUAAGGCGAGGCCGAAAGGCGUAGUCGAUGGGAAACAGGUUAAUAUUCCUGUACUUGGUGUUACUGCGAAGGGGGGACGGAGAAGGCUAUGUUGGCCGGGCGACGGUUGUCCCGGUUUAAGCGUGUAGGCUGGUUUUCCAGGCAAAUCCGGAAAAUCAAGGCUGAGGCGUGAUGACGAGGCACUACGGUGCUGAAGCAACAAAUGCCCUGCUUCCAGGAAAAGCCUCUAAGCAUCAGGUAACAUCAAAUCGUACCCCAAACCGACACAGGUGGUCAGGUAGAGAAUACCAAGGCGCUUGAGAGAACUCGGGUGAAGGAACUAGGCAAAAUGGUGCCGUAACUUCGGGAGAAGGCACGCUGAUGCGUAGGUGAAGCGACUUGCUCGUGGAGCUGAAAUCAGUCGAAGAUACCAGCUGGCUGCAACUGUUUAUUAAAAACACAGCACUGUGCAAACACGAAAGUGGACGUAUACGGUGUGACGCCUGCCCGGUGCCGGAAGGUUAAUUGAUGGGGUCAGCCGCAAGGCGAAGCUCUUGAUCGAAGCCCCGGUAAACGGCGGCCGUAACUAUAACGGUCCUAAGGUAGCGAAAUUCCUUGUCGGGUAAGUUCCGACCUGCACGAAUGGCGUAAUGAUGGCCAGGCUGUCUCCACCCGAGACUCAGUGAAAUUGAACUCGCUGUGAAGAUGCAGUGUACCCGCGGCAAGACGGAAAGACCCCGUGAACCUUUACUAUAGCUUGACACUGAACAUUGAGCCUUGAUGUGUAGGAUAGGUGGGAGGCUUUGAAGCGUGGACGCCAGUCUGCGUGGAGCCGACCUUGAAAUACCACCCUUUAAUGUUUGAUGUUCUAACGUGGACCCGUGAUCCGGGUUGCGGACAGUGUCUGGUGGGUAGUUUGACUGGGGCGGUCUCCUCCUAAAGAGUAACGGAGGAGCACGAAGGUUGGCUAAUCCUGGUCGGACAUCAGGAGGUUAGUGCAAUGGCAUAAGCCAGCUUGACUGCGAGCGUGACGGCGCGAGCAGGUGCGAAAGCAGGUCAUAGUGAUCCGGUGGUUCUGAAUGGAAGGGCCAUCGCUCAACGGAUAAAAGGUACUCCGGGGAUAACAGGCUGAUACCGCCCAAGAGUUCAUAUCGACGGCGGUGUUUGGCACCUCGAUGUCGGCUCAUCACAUCCUGGGGCUGAAGUAGGUCCCAAGGGUAUGGCUGUUCGCCAUUUAAAGUGGUACGCGAGCUGGGUUUAGAACGUCGUGAGACAGUUCGGUCCCUAUCUGCCGUGGGCGCUGGAGAACUGAGGGGGGCUGCUCCUAGUACGAGAGGACCGGAGUGGACGCAUCACUGGUGUUCGGGUUGUCAUGCCAAUGGCACUGCCCGGUAGCUAAAUGCGGAAGAGAUAAGUGCUGAAAGCAUCUAAGCACGAAACUUGCCCCGAGAUGAGUUCUCCCUGA